UCCUACGGGGGCAGCAGUGGGGGAUAUUGCACAAUGGGGGAAACCCUGAUGCAGCGACGCCGCGUGGGUGAAGAAGCGCCUCGGCGCGUAAAGCCCUGUCAGCAGGGAAGAAAAUGACGGUACCUGAAGAAGAAGCCCCGGCUAACUACGUGCCAGCAGCCGCGGUAAUACGUAGGGGGCAAGCGUUAUCCGGAUUUACUGGGUGUAAAGGGAGCGUAGACGGUAGAGCAAGUCUGAAGUGAAAGCCCGCGGCUCAACUGCGGGACUGCUUUGGAAACUGUUCAACUGGAGUGCUGGAGAGGUAA
rnacentral:rRNA from 1 species